rnacentral:pre_miRNA from 1 species
AAGCAGUGUGCAGGGUUGUUUUUUAAUACUAACUCAAUGAGGAACAAACCUGCACACUGCUAUC